AUUGAACGCUGGCGGCAUGCCUUACACAUGCAAGUCGAACGGCAGCGCGGGAGCAAUCCUGGCGGCGAGUGGCUAACGGGUGUGUAAUACAUCGGAACGUGCCCAAUCGUGGGGGAUAACGCAGCGAAAGCUGUGCUAAUACCGCAUCCUAUCUACGGCUGAAAGCAGGGGAUCGCAAGACCUUGCGCGCCUGGAGCGGCCGAUGGCCGAUUAGGUAGUUGGUGAGGUAAAGGCUCACCAAGCCUUCGAUCUGUAGCUGGUCUGAGAGGACGACCGGCCACACUGGGACUGAGACACGGCCCAGACUCCUACGGGAGGCAGCAGUGGGGAAUUUUGGAAAAUGGGCGAAAGCCUGAUCCAGCCAUGCCGCGUGAAGGAUGAAGGCCUUCGGGUUGUAAACUGCUUUUGUACGGAACGAAACGGUAUUUUCUAAUAAAGAAGGCUAAUGACGGUACCGGAAGAAUAAGCACCGGCUAACUACGUG
rnacentral:rRNA from 1 species